rnacentral:rRNA from 1 species
UACGGAGGGUGCAAGCGUUGUUCGGAAUUACUGGGCGUAAAGAGCGUGUAGGCGGCUGACCAAGUCCGGGGUGAAAGCCCGGGGCUUACCCCCGGAAGUGCGAUGGAAACUGGUUGGCUAGAGUAUGGGAGGGGGAAGUGGAAUUCCUGGUGUAGCGGUGAAAUGCGUAGAUAUCAGGAGGAACACCGGCGGCGAAGGCGGCUUCCUGGACCAAUACUGACGCUGAGACCCGAAAGCGUGGGGGGUAAACAGG